rnacentral:lncRNA from 1 species
GUCCAAGGUAGCCUGCUGGAUGGUGAGAGACACUUGCCUCAGUUUCUUGGUCAUCCUAGCCUACAAUCAGCUGUUUUCAGAAACAGAGUUGCCUAGCUGACCUGCAAUUGACCAUGGAUGCACGAGUGAGCCCAGCUGAGCUUAACGCACUCAAUGGAUUGGAUAAUGCCUGCCCACAUUAGUGAGAGUGGAUAUUUUUACUCAGCCUACUGAUUCAAAUGCUAGUCUCUUCUGGAAACAUCCUCACAGACACACUCAGAAAUAAUGUUUUACCAGCUAUCUAGCCAUCCCUUAACCCAGUCAAGUUGACACAUAAAAUUAACCAUUACACCCUCCAAAAUAUUCUUAUUUUGAAAUUCUCGCCCCCAGUACUUCAGAAUGUGAUCUUAUUCUUUAAAAGGAUCCUUGCAGAUGUAAUGAAGUUAAGAUAAGCUCAUUAGGGUGGGCUGUAAUCUAAUAUGGCUGGUAUCCUUAUAAGAAGGCACGUAGACACACAAAGAGAAGAUGGGUGUAUGACACAGGACACAGAGAUUGAAGCGUAACAGUUGCAAGCCAAGGAUUGUCAAGGAUUUCCAGCAAGCAACCAGAAGCUAGGAAGAACCAAGGAGGGAUCUCCCCACAUGAGCCUUCAG